UUCUUUAUAGGCUAAGACAUUUCAAGAUGAAGAAAAAAAAGUACUCGAGUACAGGUGUCUGUGUGAUGGAGUUUUUCUGUAUAAUAUUUGGCUAGAAAUUGAUCCUCAUCCUCCUUACCAUGGAAUUAACUCAUCAACUGAUGAUCUUGCAACUCGUAUACGAAACUUAGAUGUUCUACUUCAUAACAUAAAAGCUUUUUAUGAGGAAGUUCUUGGUCAGUUAUUGUUGACAAAGAUUCCUGAUAUUCUCACCUUGGCAAAACUGCAUGAUGAACAUUCCAGCAUUAGUGAAAUGGAAAGCUUAUUGCUCUUGAUUUUGGGAUGUGCUGUUCAGUGUGAAAGGAAAGAACAUUUUAUUGAAGUUAUUAAGUCUAUGGAUCUUGAAAUACAGCAUAAAAUAGUGGACUACAUACAGCAAAUUACUGAUAAUCCAGAAGCCGUUUGGACCAGUGAAUGGAUGGAAUUGAGUCUUAUUCCUCCUGAAGAUCAAGAGCACAUGUACAGUCUGUUAAUACAACAUCUGCGACGUCUAGUCAGAGAGAAAGAUGAACUAUCACAGG